ACACUCCGAGCACUCGCACACUUGGAAGCACCUCCCCACGUCCCUCCCCUGCCCUCCUCUUGCUCUGCUUUUCUCUCUCUCACCACAAAUAGUCGCCGACCGACUGCCAAUCCGUUUCUCUCUCUCUCUCUCUCUCUCUCUAUCUCUCUCUCUCUCUCUCUCUCUCUCUCUCUCUCUCUCUCUCUCUCUAACAUGACUGACUGGGAAGAGGUGGCUCAGGCAGAGUAGCUCUGCUGGCGCAAGCAGGAGGAGCAAGAGGAUUAUUAAAUAACGCAGCUCGACUCUGCAACUGGGAGUGGAGCGAAGGCGCCCAAGACCCGAAAAGGGGAGGGAGGGCAUAGGAGGGGGUCUAGGGAAGACACCCCCGUGCCCCGAAGACAUAAAUCUCUGAGUGCCCGGGAGGAGCCGUAACAAGCAGCCAAGAUCCUUCAAGGCUGCUAAGUUGGCUAUCACAGUGCAAGCCUUGGAGUCCCAAUGGGGGACUCCGGAUCAAGACGAUCUACCCUGGUUUCCCGGUUGCCAAUAUUCAGAAGAAGUAUUAGCAGAAGACAUGACUCUCUUCCUUCUUCACCCUCCUCCAGUAAUACAGUCGGUGUCCACAGUUCCUCUCCUUCCAGCACUAACUCAAGCUCAGGUAGUACAGGUAAACGCAGGAGCAUAUUCCGUACUCCGUCCAUCAGCUUUCACCAUAAGAAGGGGACUGAACCUAAGCAAGAACCUACCAAUCAGAACCUUAGUAUUUCAAAUGGUGCUCAAUCUGGUCACAGCAGUAUGCAAAAAAUGAGUAUAGAAGAACAUAUUAAAACCAGGGGAAGACAUUCUGUUGGUUUUAGUAGUUCACGAAAUAAGAAGAUAACGAGAUCUUUGACAGAAGAUUUUGAAAGGGAAAAGGAGCACUCAACUAAUAAGAAUGUUUUUAUAAAUUGCCUAAGUUCUGGCAAAAGUGAGGGGGAUGAUUCUGGAUUCACAGAAGAACAAACUCGCCGUUCUGUUAAGCAGUCAACAAAGAAGCUGCUUACUAAAUCUUUUUCAUCUCAUUAUAAAUUUUCUAAGCCAGUUCCACAAAGCCAGUCUAUUUCAUUGGUACAACAAUCUGAAUUCUCAUUGGAAAUUACACAGUACCAAGAGAGAGAACCUGUAAUAGUCAGAGCUUCUCCAUCUUGUUCUGUGGGUGUGACAGAACGGGCAGGAAGCUCCUUACAGUCUCCAUUACUGUCUGCUGAUCUUACCACAGCUCAGACACCUUCCGAGUUCUUCGCCUUAACGGAAGAUUCUGUGUCCGAAGCAGAUGCAUUUUCUAAAAGUGGAAGCAUGGCAUCCCACUGUGACAACUUUGGCCACAAUGACUCUACCUCUCAGAUGUCUCCCAAUCCUGCUGCUGUUACAAAGACAACAAUAGACCUUAUGGGAACUGUUCCCUGUGCAAUUAUGUCUCCUGGAAAAUACAGGUUAGAAGGUCGAUGUAGCACUGAAUCUCAUUCCUUACCAGAAACCUCUGCUGCUAGUCAGAAGGAAGUGUUAUUGCAAAUCACAGAACUACCUGUUAUGAAUGGGAAUGACUCAGAGAGUCACCUACCAGAAGAUACUCAAGGAGAAGAACAUAUGGUAUUACAAAAUGGUGAAACAAUGCUGGCAACAAGCUCCCCAAGGAAGCUUGGGUUUUAUGAGCAACAUAAAGCAAUAGCUGACCGUGCUAAAGGGAUCCAUCCUAUUUCAGAUUCAAGGAUAAUACCUUCUUCUGGUGAUCGUCAUAUUUUUAACAAAACAUCAUAUGGAUAUGACACAAAUCCUGCCAAAGUUCUUGCCAGUAGCCUAAGUCCAUAUCGUGAAGGAAGAUUUAUAGAGAGGCGACUACGAUCCUCAUCAGAAGGAACUGCAGGGAGUAGCAGAAUGAUCCUAAAACCAAAAGAUGGAAAUGGAGAAGAAGUUAACAGUCUAAGAAAGCAAAGAGCAGGUUCAUCGUCUUCAAAAAUGAACAGCCUGGAUGUUUUGAAUAAUUUGGGAUCUUGUGAAUUGGAUGAAGAUGAUCUAAUGCUUGAUCUAGAAAUUUUAGAAGAACAGAGUCUUCAUCCUUCUGUUUGCCGGGAGGACUCAUACCACUCUGUAGUCUCAUGUGCUGCUGUAGUUCUCACUCCUAUGGAAUCAACAAUAGAAAUGAAGAAAAGAGAAGAAAUAAAACUUCCUGAACCUUCCAAACAGAAUCUUUCCCUGAAAUUAACAAAAGACAUCGAUCAGGAAGCCAGGUGUUCCCAUAUCAGCCGAAUGCCCAGCAGUUCAUCUGCAGAUUGGCCUCUGCAAGGUGUGGAAGAAAAUGCAGGCAUGGAUUCUCUGCCAUUCAGAUUGAUGUUACAGGACUGCACAGCCGUUAAGACACUGUUAUUAAAGAUGAAGAGAGUUCUGCAAGAGAGUGCAGAUAUGAGUCCAGCAAGUAGCACCACUUCACUUCCUGUUAGUCCUCUUACUGAAGAGCCAUUGCCUUUCAAGGAUAUAAUGAAAGAUGAAUGCUCGAUGCUGACGCUGCAGCUGAAAGAGAGGGAUGAACUCAUUUCCCAACUUCAGGAAGAGCUGGAAAAAGUCCAGCAUUUACAGAAGGCUUUUGCUUCAAGAGUAGAUAAAUCCACACAGACUGAACUCCUAGGCUAUGAUUUUGAACAACUGCAAAUAACAUUUUGGUUAGAAUGACAGAGAAUGAAUAGCCAAAAUGCUGCAGUGAAGAUAUUAUAUUCCAACACUGAGAAAAUCCAGGCCCUGUGGAAUCCUACAUGCACUGAAGGUUUAUUUAAACCAGUACAUAUUUCAACCUAGGUUAAAUCAUUAUUUGACCAAAAGGAAUGUAUCAUGAGUCGGUGACAUAUUAAAUAUUGAAUAUAAUCAAUUUUCCAUUAUUACAUGUUAACUAGUCCUUAGAGUAUGUAAUACAGAAAUGUUUCCAUUACAGAUAUUUAACACUUUUUGCAGUUGUACCAAAUUGCAUAAGAUAUUGAUGGAUGAAGUUGCAACUGACGUAUCCCUACCUUAUUCUUAAUGUAUUUUUAAAACAGAAGUAGACUUAUCUAAAAAUUAUCUCUGUGUGGCUUUCUAGAAUGUAAUAUUCCACUUGGCAGUACGUAUUUUUUGUUCAACUUUGUCAUCCAUUUCAUUUGUCACUUUGGUUAUAGUCUUCAUUUAAUUUCACCACAUAUUCUAUGCGUAUUGGGUAAGUUUGAAGACAAGGUUUCUAGUUUCUUCCAUGUUAGUGGGACAGUGUCUAUGGAAGAACGAAAUUAUCUCUAUUUAUUUCCUUGCACUGAGAUCAAAGAUGGAAUAAAUAAUGAUGUCUUAUUCUAAGUACAGAAACUCAAAAAACUGUAUGUCUAAACAAGUGAAGAAAGUUUAUUGGAUAUGGACAUUUUAUUGAGGGAAGUUUCUUCCGUGUGUCAUAAAUGGAAGCCUGACUUCUGGACUUGGCAUCACCACCUGUUUUUGGUGUGUCCCUGUUUUUUAAUUUUCAAUAAUAGUUCACUUUAAUUAUCAAAUGGCCAGGCGGCAGCAAGGCACUCUUAAAUGUUGGUUUAUUGCAAGGAUAAGUGAUGGAACCAGAGAGUGGCUCCAUGUUGUGUGUUGGGGGCAGGGUAAUGGAAGAACCCGAAAACUCCUUAGUUCUCUUAGAAGAAAGCAGGUUUUACUGAGUUCUCUAUUUUUCAGAGAGGCAAUGAAUUAAUCAUGGCCAAUGGUGAUAUCAUUCAGAAUUAUGGUAUCAACAUUUUAAAAUUAUUUGAAUCAUUAUGUAACUUAUAGUAUAUAUGAUCAAAUGCUGGGUUUAAACUAUGGUAUUAAAAUAAAACUAUAAAUGUAUUUAUUUACAUGAAAACAUUGUAUGUGUCCUUGUUGACUUUGCCCCUUGAAUUACCCUUUUAUGAUCUAAGAUACCAAAACCUUUUUGUUUCUCUAACAGUUUUCUACAGUUUAUUCUUCUAUCCUAUUCUUAUCUCUUUCUUGUUACUGUGUUAUU